GCCCCUUUUCGUCGCCGAACCUUCGUAUUUAAUUCAUUGACGUGGCUUCCGCCAUAAUAGCACUGUAUGUCUUGAGAUCUGAGCCAAGACACAGAAUACUGGAAUUGUCUGGCUCUUUGUUGUCAUUGUUUUCUCCUCAUAAACAACAAUGGUUCUCUUAGCAGCAGCAGUUUGUAACAAGAGUGGCAAAGCCAUAAUUUCUCGACAGUUUGUCGAGAUGACAAGGGCCCGAAUCGAAGGUCUUCUGGCUGCCUUCCCCAAACUAAUGAGCAGCGGCAAACAACACACAUUUGUGGAGACAGAGAGUGUAAGAUAUGUGUAUCAACCUCUGGAGAAACUUUACAUGUUACUUAUCACCACAAAAGCCAGUAACAUCCUUGAAGACUUGGAGACCCUUCGCCUCUUUGCUAAAUUGAUUCCAGAGUAUUGCCGUAAUAUGGACGAGAGUGAAAUUAUCGAGCAGUCCUUCUCACUGAUAUUUGCCUUUGAUGAGAUUGUUGCCCUUGGUUACCGAGAGAACGUGAACAUUGCACAGAUUCGCACUUUUACAGAGAUGGAUUCACACGAAGAACGAGUGUUCAUGGCUGUUAGACAGACUCAAGAGAAAGAGGCUCGUGACACAAUGAUGAAGAAGGCUGAAGAACUACGCCGCAUGAAGACAAAAAGUGGUGGCAGCAACAUGCGGUCACCUGGAUUUGGUGGAGGCUUUGGUAGUAACAGCAGUGGGGGCCGCAUGGAAUCCCCCAUUAUCGAUACCACUAUUAAUGACACUGUUAAAUCAUCAUACACUGCUCCUAGCAAACCAUUGGGUCCAAGUAAAGCGAUGAAACUUGGUAGCAAGACUAAAGACGUUGAUUCUUUUGUGGAUCAACUCAAAUCAGAAGGCGAGACUGUCACCUCAAGCAACCAUUCCUCAUCUACUAUAAACAAGGUCUCUACACCAACUGUUAACCAGGAAAAUGUCCAUUUGCGAAUAGAAGAGAAAAUAGUUGUACAAGCUGGGCGUGAUGGUGGCUUACAGAAUUUGGAAGUGUUUGGUUUAGUGAAGUUAAAGGUUGCAGAUGACAAGUUUGGAAAAAUCAAAGUUGCCAUUUUGAAUAAUGAUACCAAAGGAAUUCAACUUCAGACCCAUCCCAACAUUGACAAGAAGUUAUUCAGUACUUCAUCCUACAUUGGUUUGAAAAAUUCUGAGAAACCAUUUCCUUUACACCAAGAUAUUGGAGUCUUAAAAUGGCGUUUCCAGACACAAGAUGAGGCUUUCAUUCCUUUGUCAAUAAAUUGCUGGCCCUCAGAAACUGGAUCUGGCUGUGAUGUCAACAUAGAAUAUGAACUGGAACAGCAGAACUUAGAACUAAAUGAUGUUGUUAUAACUAUACCAUUGCCGUCUGGUGUUGGAUCUCCAAUUGUUGGUGACUGUGAUGGAAACUAUACAUAUGAGCGCAGCAACAACCAGUUGCUAUGGAACUUACCACUUAUUGAUGCUGCAAACAAGUCUGGCAGUAUGGAAUUCAGCAUCAAUGGACAUCCAGAAGAUUUCUUCCCUGUCAAAGUGUCUUUUGUCUCCACAAAAUCGUACUGUGACAUUCAGAUCUCUGAAGUGAUCACCACAGAUGAUGAACCUGUGAAAUAUUCUUCUGAAGUCGUAUUCUACGUUGACAAAUAUGAAAUUGUGUAAAGGACAUCAGCUGCUUGCUUUGAUUGGGGUGGGGUUCACUUAAGUCUCUCUCUCUCUCUCCCUCUUUCACAUAUAGACACACACACACACACACACACAUACACACCUCACUAUCUCUCUGUCUCUUUAUAUAUGCACACACAUAA
rnacentral:misc_RNA from 1 species